UACGUAGGUGGCAAGCGUUGUCCGGAAUUAUUGGGCGUAAAGCGCGCGCAGGCGGUCUCUUAAGUCUGAUGUGAAAGCCCACGGCUCAACCGUGGAGGGUCAUUGGAAACUGGGGGACUUGAGUGCAGGAGAGAAGAGUGGAAUUCCACGUGUAGCGGUGAAAUGCGUAGAGAUGUGGAGGAACACCAAUUGCGAAGGCAGCUCGCUGGGACGUAACUGACGCUGAGACGCGAAAGCGUGGGGAGCAAACAGG
rnacentral:rRNA from 1 species